rnacentral:rRNA from 1 species
GUAGGUGGCAAGCGUUGUCCGGAAUUAUUGGGCGUAAAGCGCGCGCAGGCGGUUCUUUAAGUCUGAUGUGAAAGCCCACGGGCUCAACCGUGGAGGGUCAUUGGAAACUGGAGAACUUGAGUACAGAAGAGGAAAGCGGAAUUCCACGUGUAGCGGUGAAAUGCGUAGAGAUGUGGAGGAACACCAGUGGCGAAGGCGGCUUUCUGGUCUGUAACUGACGCUGAGGCGCGAAAGCGUGGGGAGCAAACAGGAUUAGAUACCCUGGUAGUCCACGCCGUAAACGAUGAGUGCUAAGUGUUAGGGGGUUUCCGCCCCUUUAGUGCUGCAGCUAACGCAUUAAGCACUCCGCCUGGGGAGUACGGCCGCAAAGGCUAG